AGCAGCCGCCGCGGGAAUACGUAGGUGGCAAGCGUUGUCCGGAAUUAUUGGGCGUAAAGGGCUCGCAGGCGGUUUCUUAAGUCUGAUGUGAAAGCCCCCGGCUCAACCGGGGAGGGUCAUUGGAAACUGGGAAACUUGAGUGCAGAAGAGGAGAGUGGAAUUCCACGUGUAGCGGUGAAAUGCGUAGAGAUGUGGAGGAACACCAGUGGCGAAGGCGACUCCCUGGUCUGUAACUGACGCUGAGGAGCGAAAGCGUGGGGAGCGAACAGGAUUAGAUACCCCUGUAGUCCCUGUCUCUUAUAC
rnacentral:rRNA from 1 species